rnacentral:misc_RNA from 1 species
UAUCUUGGCAAGUUGUUGAAGAAAAAAAACCAGAAACCCCUCUUCGAAGCCUUGCAGAAGAUCAAAGAAGAAUUAAUGCUUUUGGGGUUCAUAUCGCUGCUACUGACUGUGUUCCAAGGUAGGAUUACCUCAAUCUGCAUAUCAGAGAAGUUGGCUGAUAAAUGGCUACCUUGCAAGAACAAAUCAGACGCCACUGGUACUGCCCAUUUUCAGGCCUUCUUCUCUUUCUUCCCUGGUGGGUCUGCUCGUCGCCUUCUAGCUGAGUCCUCUGACUCCGCCUCUUCCUGCAGCAAGGGAAAGGUUCCAAUUUUAUCUACAACUGCAUUGCAUCAUCUUCAUAUAUUUAUCUUUGUUCUAGCUUGUGUGCAUGUGGUUUUCUGUGCUCUAACCAUACUUUUCGGAAGUGCAAAGAUAAGACAGUGGAAGCACUGGGAAGAUUCUGUCUCAAAUAAGGAGUAUGACAUUGAAGAAGCAAAAAGCUCAAAGGUUACACAUGUUCAUGAUCACGAUUUUAUCAAGAACCGGUUUCGGGGUAUUGGAAAAAACUUCUACUUGAUGGGUUGGGUGCAUUCAUUCUUCAAGCAGUUUUAUGGGUCUAUAAAUAAAUCUGAUUAUAUCACAUUGCGACUGGGCUUCAUUAUGACUCAUUGCAGGGGAAACCCAAAAUUUAAUUUUCACAAGUACAUGAUGCGUGCUCUUGAAGCUGACUUCAAGAAAGUUGUUGGAAUAAGUUGGUAUCUUUGGAUAUUUGUGGUUGUUUUCUUGCUGCUGAAUGUUGCUGGUUGGCAUGCUUAUUUCUGGAUC